rnacentral:rRNA from 1 species
GAUUAGCCAUGCAUGUCUAAGUACAUGCCGUAUUAAGGCGAAACCGCGAAUGGCUCAUUAAAUCAGUCAUGGUUCCUUGGAUCGUACCUUACUACUUGGAUAACUGUGGCAAUUCUAGAGCUAAUACAUGCAGCAGAGCUCCGACCUUCGGGGACGAGCGCUUUUAUUAGACCAAAACCAAUCGGACCUCGUGUCCGUCCUUUGUGGUGACUCUGUAUAACUUUGGGCUGAUCGCACGGGCCUGUCCCGGCGACGUAUCUUUCAAGUGUCUGCCUUAUCAACUUUCGAUGGUAGGUUACGCGCCUACCAUGGUCGUAACGGGUAACGGGGAAUCAGGGUUCGAUUCCGGAGAGGGAGCCUGAGAAACGGCUACCACAUCCAAGGAAGGCAGCAGGCGCGCAAAUUACCCACUCCCAGAACGGGGAGGUAGUGACGAAAAAUAACAAUACGGGACUCUUUUGAGACCCCGUAAUUGGAAUGAGUACACUCUAAAUCCUUUAACGAGGAUCCAUUGGAGGGUAAGUCUGGUGCCAGCAGCCGCGGUAAUUCCAGCUCCAAUAGCGUAUAUUAAAGUUGUUGCGGUUAAAAAGCUCGUAGUUGGAUCUCAGUUCCAGACGGGUGGUCCGCCUACCGGUGGUUACUGCCUGUUCUGAACAGUCAGCCGGUUUCUCUUGAUGAUCUUCACCGGUUGUCUUGGGUGACCGGCAAGUUUACUUUGAAAAAAUUAGAGUGCUCAAAGCAGGCUUGACGCCUGAAUAAUGGUGCAUGGAAUAAUGGAAUAGGACCUCGGUUCUAUUUUGUUGGUUUUCGGAACACGAGGUAAUGAUUAAGAGGGACAGACGGGGGCAUUCGUAUUGCGACGCUAGAGGUGAAAUUCUUGGACCGUCGCAAGACGAACUACUGCGAAAGCAUUUGCCAAGAAUGUUUCCAUUAAUCAAGAACGAAAGUUAGAGGUUCGAAGGCGAUCAGAUACCGCCCUAGUUCUAACCAUAAACGAUGCCAGCCAGCGAUCCGGCUGUGU